GGAGUUGUAGCUCAGUGGUAGAGCACUUGCCUAAGACGUGUGAGGCACUGGGUUUGAUCCUCAGCACCA
rnacentral:tRNA from 1 species